rnacentral:rRNA from 1 species
GACGAACGCUGGCGGCGUGCUUAACACAUGCAAGUCGUACGGGAAGGCCCUUUCGGGGGUACACGAGUGGCGAACGGGUGAGUAACACGUGAGUAACCUGCCCACAACUUUGGGAUAACGCUAGGAAACUGGUGCUAAUACUGGAUAUGUGCCCCUGCUGCAUGGUGGGGGUUGGAAAGCUCCGGCGGUUGUGGAUGGACUCGCGGCCUAUCAGCUUGUUGGUGGGGUAGUGGCCUACCAAGGCGGCGACGGGUAGCCGGCCUGAGAGGGUGACCGGCCACAUUGGGACUGAGAUACGGACCAGACUCCUACGGGAGGCAGAAGUGGGGAAUAUUGCACAAUGGGCGCAAGCCUGAUGCAGCAACGCCGCGUGCGGGAUGACGGCCUUCGGGUUGUAAACCGCUUUCAGCAGGGACGAAGCUUUUUGUGACGGUACCUGCAGAAGAAGCACCGGCUAACUACGUG